AUUGAACGCUGGCGGCAGGCCUAACACAUGCAAGUCGAGCGGAUGAAGGGAGCUUGCUCCUGGAUUCAGCGGCGGACGGGUGAGUAAUGCCUAGGAAUCUGCCUGGUAGUGGGGGAUAACGUCCGGAAACGGGCGCUAAUACCGCAUACGUCCUGAGGGAGAAAGUGGGGGAUCUUCGGACCUCACGCUAUCAGAUGAGCCUAGGUCGGAUUAGCUAGUUGGUGGGGUAAAGGCCUACCAAGGCGACGAUCCGUAACUGGUCUGAGAGGAUGAUCAGUCACACGGGAACUGAGACACGGUCCAGACUCCUACGGGAGGCAGCAGUGGGGAAUAUUGGACAAUGGGCGGAAGCCUGAUCCAGCCAUGCCGCGUGUGUGAAGAAGGUCUUCGGAUUGUAAAGCACUUUAAGUUGGGAGGAAGGGCAGUAAGUUAAUACCUUGCUGUUUUGACGUUACCAACAGAAUAAGCACCGGCUAACUUCGUG
rnacentral:rRNA from 1 species